rnacentral:misc_RNA from 1 species
AAAUUAUUAAAUCAUAUUGUACCAUAUCAUUUUUUCAAAUAUAUUAACAAUAAAAACUAUAACAUAUGAUACGAGACCAUACAUGAAUACAUCAAUAAAAUAUGCUGCGCUCAACCUAAACAGGGAAUUAAAAGAGUAAUUUUUAUUUUUCUCACUAAAAGGAACUGCGAUGGCCAAUUUAAAUUUAGUUGUAUACGGCUGCAAUUGCCUAAUACUUAAAUAAUGGACUUGCUUUGGCUGGUUAUUUCUAGGUGUUUGUGUCCAUAUUCAUCCUGUGAGAUGAUACUCGGGUAAUUAAAAGGGCAUGAUGUGUCUUAGAUAGAUAAAAUAUCACUUUGGAUUUAACAGCAUGGAAUUAUUCAUACUGUGAGAUGAUGAUCUGGUAAUUCUCAAGGUCUGUUUAUGCCCUUUCAUAAUGUGUGUAGUAGGUCUCUUAGGGAACAUCCCAACAGCAAAUAAUUGGGAUUCAUAUUAAGGGGGUUCAGUUUUGCAUUCCAGUGGAUAGAGAGUGAAGGUUUGAGGCACCAAAAUAAAAUAAAAAGAAUGUGAGUGUGAUGAAAGAAUGGCUGUCUCUUAAAAUGUAUGAUGGCUCCAAAUCAACUUCCAUUUGACAAGGCAGUUUUCUUCAUAUUUUUUCUCUCUAUUAAGAUAUACUGUGUUAUUAGUUUGGUUUAUGUAUUGGGAUGUGUGGAUAUUCUACGUGGAAAGUUAUGUCAGUAUUGUUUGUAAGCCCUUUAUGGACCAAGCCAAUGGCAGAUUGCAACAAGAAAUAUGAUAUCUUUUUAUUUUCAAAUUAUCGUAUAAGAUUUUUCUCUCACAAGAUUCACUUUCUUAAGAAAUUUGAUGCAUGUUGAAAUAUCAUGUAAAUAACUCGCUAUGGAGCUCUAAAAUUCAUGCAUUCGCACGUUGUCUUUAAGAUUUUCUAGGAUUGAGUUCUAAUGUUUACCAACUUUAUAUGGUCGGACUUGUUCUCCACAUAUAACUUUUUGUAAUAUGCUCAAAAUUUUUCUUACUUUUAUGUAUAAUAAUAAAUGUUGGAUGUAACGUUGCUAUAUUUAGAGAUAUUCAAGUAAAGUAAGCAAUGAUAUGCUUAUUAGGUCCCAUAAAUAUUGUGCCUAUCUGUUAAGUUUUCUCAGGAAUAAAAAGACAUGCAUGCUUCUUUUGCUAGACCUCAUGUUCUGACAUCUUUUCCUUCUGAAUGAAUGUGCUUAGUUUCCUGUUGGUCGAAUUCAU